rnacentral:lncRNA from 1 species
AUGGCCACAAGGGCAGACUGGAGCUGCCCCAUCUGCCACAGCAGUCAGAGUGAUGUGGCAUCUGCUGUGCCCUGUAAUGACCGGUUCUGCCUGGGCUGCAUCCUGCGGUGGGCAAACACAAAUCCAGUGUGCCCAGUCUGCAGCAGACGUAUGGAGACUGUCAGGUUUUCUGAGCGGAACAAACGGGACUAUCUACAGUUUGCCAUCACAGCCUCAGAAGCGUUGGCAGAGGACAGCAGCCAGGCAGGGAAUGCUCCAUUCUACCUGGCCCGAAAGAGACUCCAUCACCCCAGGGUGUCCCCUCCACCUUCUCCACAAAGGAUGCUGUCUCCAGAUGAGCAGGGGACUGUAGAGCCAGUGUUCAUGGGUGGCCUAUUGCCUGAGGUCUGGGCAGAACUUUUCCAAAGGCAACAGCAACUGCUGGACCCUGUGCUUCCCUGGCUGCGCUGGAGGCUGGAAGCAGUCUAUCACGAUCAGUGGUGGCGAGCAGAGGCUGCAGAGAGCUCCAUCCUGCAUGGCCUCUGUGUCUGUGGUCCAAAUGCAGAGAUCUUAAUUGAGCUGCUGGAACCUCUCCUCAAUGGGCACACAGCAUCGCUGGUUUAUGGCAUCAUGAAUGUCAUUGCAGGCCAGUGCAGUGACAAAGCCCAGAGGCUGCUGUGCUUCCAUCAUGCCAGUACCAACUCCAGUAGCUCCAGCUACACUAGAUCCCGGGAAGUGACUCCUACCAGUGGAACCACAGGCUCUGAGGUGGAGGAGGAAGCCAGUACAUCAGAAACUGGUCUCCAACAGAGUCCCAGCCACCCCCCAACUAUGCCCACCUCCUUAGAGCAGGACCAGCCCCAGGAAGAGCAGGAGCAGACGGUGGUGGCAGCAGGUCCAUCUGCUCAGGGCUGCAGCCCCUCUCCUCCUGACCAGGCCAGGGACCACUCUUCUAGGCAGCCUCGGCAUGCUCGGAAGAAGAGAGCCCGUCGCGCCCAUGAUUCUCCCUGCCCAAAGAAGAGGCCACCUCGGCAGCAGCACUAG